rnacentral:rRNA from 1 species
UACGUAGGGUGCGAGCGUUAAUCGGAAUUACUGGGCGUAAAGCGUGCGCAGGCGGUUUUGUAAGGCAGAUGUGAAAUCCCCGGGCUUAACCUGGGAAUGGCAUUUGGGACUGCAUGGCUAGAGUGCGGGAGAGGAGAGUGGAAUUCCUGGUGUAGCGGUGGAAUGCGCAGAUAUCAGGAAGAACACCCGUGGCGAAGGCGGCUCUCUGGAACGCAACUGACGCUGAGACGCGAAAGCGUGGGGAGCAAACAGG